AGGGGCCCACUGAUUGUAUAGCCCUUUCUGUCUGAAACGUGUCGACAUACCAUUGGUGGUAGGUUGUAGGUUAAGGACUCAGAAUCCGUGCCCACUCACUCACCGCUUAUUAUUUUCUCCCUAUCGCAUUCCAAAUUCCAACCCCAUAACCAUUUCUUUGUUUGUUACAAACAAUUCUGGUUCAUUCAGGUGAGGGGAGAGAGUAAUAUAUAUAGUGGAAAUGGUAAUUUGAGUGAAGAAUUGGGGUUUGGUUGCAUGCUUUUCCACAGCUUUCUUGAACUUGGCUACUCUCUCUGGCUCUGCAUGCCUUCUCUUCUCUAUUCCUACUGGAAGCAUUAAUCCUCAGUCAGUGUAUAUGAAGCUCAAGAAAGCUGUGGGAAAUCAUGGACGCCCCAUUUUUAUUUUAUUUUUUUAUUAUUUUGCUUCUUUGUUUCUCGGCUUUUGGGCUUCUACAAGGAGUUAAAGGAGUGAGUGAUGAGAUUUGAGGAAGGGUAGAAUUGUCAGUUUAUGUUUUUUGUUUUCACGACACUCAUACAACGGAAUGGAAAUGAUGGUUACUUUUCCUUUUUCCUUGCUUUAUGAAUUAAGGCAAAAAAGGGACCCUGGAAGACAAUAGCAGACAAGUUGGGAAACAAGUCACUAGAAGUUGUUGAAUUCAAUUUUUUAAUUAUGUAUUUCAUAAUCAAUCGUUUAUUUCUCCAAAUAAUAUCAUGUCGAAAAAAUUAGUUACUGUUUGUUGGUUACAAAAAAAAAAAACAUAAUAUAAGCUUACACUACACGUGUCCAAAGAUUUGCCCCGCCUAAUAGGCUUGACUCAAUUUGGAUCGAGCUUCAACAAAGAUUUUUUACUUUAAGCCUAGUAGACUCAGCUUAAAUUCAAUUUAAAUAAUAAAAAAUAUUUUUAAAUUAAAAUUGAAUUAUAGAAUAGAAAUUAAAAAUAUAGUUUCAAUAUUUUGUUAUUUUUAAAUAGUAAAACGAAUUUUUUAGGUGAAACGAAAAUAAAUUUAAACUUGAAAAAUAUUUUGAAAUUAAACCUCAACCUAAUUCGACUCAUGAACACCUCUGAUUUACACAAUCAAAAAAUCACACGCUUGCACAAAGGUUGAAGCCCUCUAACAUCAAAUAUGAGCAUCAUCAAAAUGAUCAAAGCCCAUGUCAUUAGGUGUUAACCACCAUAUCAUACAUUAUGCCGACAUCAACACAAACCGUGCUCACC